UACGUAGGUGGCAAGCGUUGUCCGGAUUUACUGGGCGUAAAGCGUGCGCAGGCGGUCCGCAAAGUCUGAUGUGAAAGCCCCGGGCUCAACCUGGGAACUGCAUUGGAAACUAACGGGCUCGAGUGUGGCAGAGGGGGGUGGAAUUCCACGUGUAGCAGUGAAAUGCGUAGAGAUGUGGAGGAACACCGAUGGCGAAGGCAGCCCCCUGGGCUAACACUGACGCUCAGGCACGAAAGCGUGGGGAGCAAACAGG
rnacentral:rRNA from 1 species